rnacentral:rRNA from 1 species
CCGGCGACCGGCGCACGGGUGAGUAACACGUAUGCAACCUGCCCUCUUCAGGGGGACAACCUUCCGAAAGGGAGGCUAAUCCCGCGUAUAUCGGUUUCGGGCAUCCGAGAUCGAGGAAAGAUUCAUCGGAAGAGGAUGGGCAUGCGGCGCAUUAGCUAGACGGCGGGGUAACGGCCCACCGUGGCGACGAUGCGUAGGGGUUCUGAGAGGAAGGCCCCCCACACUGGUACUGAGGCACGGACCAGACUCCUACGGAAGGCAGCAG